AGCCGUCUUGUUUCUGGACAUUUUUUGCCCAUUUAAGAGACUUUUUAAAGGUAAUUUUUGGCCCUCUAGCGGUUAAAAAAAAAAAACCUUUUGUUUUGGUUGUGCUUCGGUUCUAGAUUAGCUGCUCCAUGUCGACCUAUAGCAACUUUUCUAUGUUUAUGGAUAUGACGUAUGCAUGCAAUUUCCUGUGAAAACCAGUAUAAAAUAUAAAUACUUUAAAUAGGCAUAACAUAGUGAAAAGGGAUAACACAAAACAUGUUUUGGAUGGAUGAUGUUAAUUUUGAACAAAAAAAAAGCUACAUAGUAUAGCUUUAAAUGCAUUUAGACCGUUUGUAGCUGUCUUCAUCAUAUAAUACCUGGUGUUAAUGUGUAACUCUUUCUACACAGAUGACUCAGAGAGAGCCAAUUAGAAUGCAGUGUUUGCCACUGACUUUUGACCCCCUACUCAUCUUCCCUGUUCUGUUAAAUGACAUUACUCAUGAGCUCCUCAUGCAAAAGUUUAUAAUGAGACAACAUCAUUAGAACUGCUGAAGUCCAGCGUUCAGCACCGUUACAGUUCAGACAAGUCACUUCAUUUAUUCAGUAAUGUGUGUAUAUAAUAGAAGUGUGUGUGUGUGAAUGAAUUUCGCCGACAGUAUUGAACGAACAAGAAAUGAUCCAGGCACUGAUGAGCUCUUCUUAACACUGAGUUUGAUAGCAGCGGUUUUCGACUGAAUACAUUUUCACAUUACUCUAAUGCAAAACAAUCUUACGAUUAUGUCCGUAUUGAUCAAACAUUGAAAUCCUCUGUUAAUUAUCGGAUUAAUGCCGCAUGUCUUCACUCCGUCGGUUUGAUGUGAAGAUUGGGAAAAAAACAGAUAAACGUCGGAAAGAACACUUGACAUUUUCAGUAAUUACCAAACCGUUUUAGAUUUAGUGCAAAUUUAACAACCUAAAGGUCAUUUAAAGUAAAGUCAUCCAGAUGAUUCCUGUGUGUGUAAUAGAGGACGGCCGCUGUACUGAGACUCCAGAGCAAUUAUCAGCAGAAAUGAUGGAUUUUAGCUUGAAGCAAAAGUGAUUUUAUUUUCAUCCUCAUCUAUUAACUUUCAUAACGUCCUCCUCCUUCAGGUUCUUCCUUUCAAUGCGUCUUCUUUUGAACACUAUGGACGGCAAACACACAUUGCUCACAAUGACAGAGGCAAUGAACUCUCGCUCUGUUUUUCUCUACCGCUUUUUUAUGUUGAUAUAAAUAUUAUUAUUAUUAUAUAUUUUGCAUUAAAAAAAAGAAACCUGUUUUUAGGUCCAUUAAAAUUUGCAUUGUGACAUUUUGAUGAUAAAGCACAUUUAGCCUAUAAAUCAGAAUUACAAUAAUGCAUUCACAUGUUUUUGAGUUUUUAAUGAAUAAUUACUGUAAAGGCCCCGAUAUCUAUAUUCAUGGCGAAGUUCUUUUUCGUUCUUCGUUUAGGGGUAUGAAAUACGUGAGCAGCGAUAUACUGUUAUUGAAAAUCAGACGCCGUCCACACUGCUGAGCAACGUUUAGAUGAAUAUGUAAAUAUGUCCUGCACUCUUUGCUCUCAGUAACAAAAUAAACACAACUAAAAUGAGAAAACAGCAAGCAUUUUUUAUCCACCUUGUUCCUGACGAGCCUACUGCGUUUUGAAUUAUGGGUGGCACUUUCGGUUUGGGAACUUCCAUUCAAAAAGACUGAAACAAUUCAUUUUAAAUCAUAUGGUUGCACAACAAAGAGCUGUCAACUUUUAUUUACAGACAUCAUGAGAAUAACGUAACGCUUGGUAUUUUAACAUGACGUUAGAACAAGAAUAUCUAUAGUAAGUCACUGCAUUUUUUUCCUCAUGAUUAUUUUUUUCCCCCCCUUUUUAUUCCUCUGUAAUAGUAUGAAAAAGGACAACAUAAUCUGCACAUUUGUGGUCUAUUCUCCUGAUUUAAUUUACAAUACCAUUAAUAAUGCAGUGGAAUGCACAAAGAAUCUCUCUUUUUUCUCCUCAAAUCCUCACGUCUCUUUUCAGGUUUGUUUUCACAGGUAAAUAAUAUUAAUUAUUUGUCAAAAUGACGGAAAUCACUUUGAAAUGGUAUCAAUGCUGAAGUUAAUGAACAUUUUUGAUCAAGGCAACGUACAUAAUACAGAUAUAUAUAUUACUACAGUCAUAUUUAACUCAUCCGUUAUUGCUGUGGAAAGAAUCGGUCUUUUGGGGUUAUUCAUGCUCUGUUGUAGUUUUUUGUUGAUGCUUUUACACUUUUAAAUGUCCUUUUAAUGUUCAAUGGUUGAGGGGCGAGUACAAUAAUGUUGUCUCAUUGUACCCAGUUUAAAAAAACGCAUUAUUGCGUUCAUAGAGCGAGCCUUUAACUGAUUGUUAACAGCUUAACGAAAGUUACACCCAUAAUUCAUGGGGCGUAGGAAUAAGGUGGAUACAUCACGUCAUGUUUAUUUAUAUGACAUUUUAUUCAAUAGAUUGCUUAAAAGCACAAGCUUACAGUAUCAAACAUGAAAAACAGCGUCAGUGCCUCAUUUCACCAGAAGCACAGCUUCAUUUUUUACUGUAAAGCGGCUAUCCAGUGUUCAUGUUUUAACACGCGGAAAACUUACCUAGACGGACUCAACACAUGAAAUGAGUCAGAGAAGAGUUCUGUGUGAAAGAAGGCGGAGCUUCAGCACACACCUCCUAUUAGUGUUGUCAAAAAUAUCGAUAUUUCGCUAAAUAUCGAUACUGAAAUAUCUGAACGGUACCAAUACUAAUUUCCCGAAGUAUCGAUACUAGCCGCACUUUCACUUUUCUCUCCAAAGGCGCGUUGGCGACCACCACAUGCGCACUCGCACUCGCACUCGUCUCAUUCGCUCUGGGGUGCGUUUCCCAAAGCGAACUAUGGUCGUAAGUUCCGUCGUUACCAAUAGAGUUCAAUGGGACUUACGACCAUGGUUCACCAACGAUGCUUUCGGGAAACUCACCCCUGGUUAGCAAAAGUGAAGUGAAUGGAAAGAUGGCGAGUGCACCGCCCGCGCGACCGGCUUUGGUUGAUAAGGAACACAGCAGGAGUGCUAUCUGGAAAUAUUUUGCAUAUGAGGCAAAUGAACAUGGAAAGCCGAAGGACACAAGCAAGCCAAUAUGCAAGAGAUGCUACAGAACAGUGCUAACAAAAGGCGCUAACACCACUAAUAUAGCAAAGCACCUGAGAGACCGACACCCGGAUCUGUAUAAAGAAUUUCUCGAGCACCAGAAAGAAGAUGAGACUCGACCUGCAA